CCUACGGGGGGCAGCAGUAGGGAAUAUUGCGCAAUGGGGGAAACCCUGAAGCAGCAACGCCGCGUGGAGGAUGAAGGUUUUCGGAUUGUAAACUCCUUUUGUUAGAGAAGAUAAUAACGGUAUCUAACGAAUAAGCACUGGCUAACUCCGUGCCAGCAGCCGCGGUAAUACGGAGGGUGCAAGCGUUAGUCGGAAUCACUGGGCGGAAAGAGCGCGUAGGCGGGAUAGCAAGUCAGAUGUGAAAUCCUAUGGCUUAACCAUAGAACUGCAUUUGAAACUGGUAAUCUAGAGUGUGGGAGAGGUAAGUGGAAUUCUUGGUGUAGGGGUGAAAUGCGUAGAGAUCAAGAGGAAUACUCAUUGCGAAGGCGACCUGCUAGAACAUAACUGACGCUGAUGCGCGAAAGCGUGGGGAGCAAACAGGAUUAGAUACCCGAGUAGUC
rnacentral:rRNA from 1 species